rnacentral:rRNA from 1 species
AUUGAACGCUGGCGGCAGGCCUAACACAUGCAAGUCGAGCGGAUGAAGGGAGCUUGCUCCUGGAUUCAGCGGCGGACGGGUGAGUAAUGCCUAGGAAUCUGCCUGGUAGUGGGGGAUAACGUCCGGAAACGGGCGCUAAUACCGCAUACGUCCUGAGGGAGAAAGUGGGGGAUCUUCGGACCUCACGCUAUCAGAUGAGCCUAGGUCGGAUUAGCUAGUUGGUGGGGUAAAGGCCUACCAAGGCGACGAUCCGUAACUGGUCUGAGAGGAUGAUCAGUCACACUGGAACUGAGACAGGGUCCAGACUCCUACGGGAGGCAGCAGUGGGGAAUAUUGGACAGUGGGCGAAAGCCUGAUCCAGCCAUGCCGCGUGUGUGAAGAAGGUCUUCGGAGUGUAAAGCACUUUAAGUUGGGAGGAAGGGCAGUAAGUUAAUACCUUGCUGUUUUGACGUUACCAACAGAAUAAGCACCGGCUAACUUCGUG